rnacentral:piRNA from 1 species
AAAUGAUAAUGCAGGACAAACUGGAGA